AUGGGUUGCCAUGCUUUGGACUUGUGGAAGCAGCGGCCGAGAAGAUGUUGUUGUAGACCAGGAGUGUGGUCGGUUGCAAUUUGUGAAGCAAAUCGCUUGCUCGGAGAAGAAAAUCCCCCUUCUCCAAUGACCAGGCUAGGUUGGGCCGCCACUGAAGGUAGCCACAUGCUGAGGCUAAGACGCCAGCCCAGACCACCCACGACCCACCAACGCACGCGCAGCAGCCGGCCCUCCUACCAGGGCACAACAUCUCCGAAGGACCUCCUCGUCGCCUUCACCAGGGCACAACAUCUCCGAAGGACCUCCUCGUCGCCGACGGCACUGUGCAGGCUUUGCCCGGCGGUGUACCAUGGCGGCGCGGAGAGGAGAAGAGGUGAUCUAGGUUUUCUUAUGGAGGCGGGAGCAGGGUUUACAAAAAAGAUCUCCCGGUGCAACGCACAGCGCCCUUCCUCCCCGGUGCGUCCACAACUGGCUGGGCCUCGGCCUCUCAAAAAGGACUCGAACCUAGGAACUAUAGGCUUAUUGCUCAAAAAAGGAACUACAGGCUUGGAUCUAGCCUUGGCCCAUGGCAUCGAGCGCGACGGCGAGGGGAUGUGGAGGCUGUGGCCCUCUGAUAGAGGAGGAACGAAAGCCGGCUUGGCUGAGUUAGAGUGCGGCCUCGCGUCCCGCUCCGAACACAUCAACGCAAGCGCCGUGCUCCGCCGCCGCGAUCUCUGUGACGCCGUGGGCAUCAAUGAGAGCCUGAGGGCGCUCUGUGCCAGGAUGGACUCCACGGCGUUCUUCUGGUUCGUUGCAGCGCGACACAAGAGAUCGACGCAGCCUGCGCUCAGGUGUUGCUUGAAUCCGGGCAAGUCCGUCAUGAACACGAUCGCCGACGUGUUCCCGAUGGACCGACUGGAGUUGAAAAACCUGCAACCCUUGCCUGGGGCCUGGGCAUGCAUGCUCAUCCAGGAGGAAAUCGUGCAGACACUGCCCAGCCCGCCCAGACCCGGAGAUCAUGCUGGCACGACCCUUGCGGCGGGCUACGCUAACCAUGAGCAAGGACCUAGACCGUCUCCCUCGCGUGACCCACUCGCCAAACUCGACGGCUCCCGCUCCGGCUCGCAAAGGUCGCUGCUCCUGCUGGCCGGCAACUGUCCGCUCGCCAACCUCGCAAUCAAGGCCGCAGCUUCCCGAAACAAAGGUCCCCACUCACGUCUCCUUUGUGCUGCAGACAGGACUGGAUAA
rnacentral:rRNA from 1 species